GUCCUGGCCGUAAACGAUGGGCACUAACUAGAGGUCUCCCUGUGGGAUCUCUGGUGGAGCAAAUGUGAUAAGUGCCCCGCCUGGGAAGUACGGUCGCAAGGCUAAAACUCAAAGGAAUUGACGGGGGCUCACACAAGCGGUGGAGCAUGUGGUUUAAUUCGAAGCAACGCGAAGAACCUUACCCAGGCUUGACAUGCUGGGAUUAGUCUCCUGAAAGGGAGACGAUUGCCUUCGGGUGUAACCAGCACAGGUGUUGCAUGGCUGUCGU
rnacentral:rRNA from 1 species